CCUACGGGCGGCAGCAGUGAGGAAUAUUGGUCAAUGGACGAGAGUCUGAACCAGCCAAGUAGCGUGAAGGAUGACUGCCCUAUGGGUUGUAAACUUCUUUUAUAAGGGAAUAAAGCGAGGCACGUGUGCCUUUUUGCAUUUACUUUAUGAAUAAGGAUCGGCUAACUCCGUGCCAGCCGCCGCGGUAAUACGGAGGAUCCGAGCGUUAACCGGAUUUAUUGGGUUUAAAGGGAGCGUAGAUGGGUUGUUAAGUCAGUUGUGAAAGUUUGCGGCUCAACCGUAAAAUUGCAAUUGAUACUGGCAGUCUUGAGUACAGGUGAGGUAGGCGGAAUUCGUGGUGUAGCGGUGAAAUGCUUAGAUAUCACGAAGAACCCCGAUUGCGAAGGCAGCUUACUAAACUGUGACUGACAUUGAUGCUCGAAAGUGUGGGUAGCAAACAGGAUUAGAUACCCUGGUAGUC
rnacentral:rRNA from 1 species